ACCCAGCUGACGAGUCACAAAUAGGACGAAACGCGCGUCCUGGAU
rnacentral:hammerhead_ribozyme from 1 species